rnacentral:tRNA from 1 species
GUCCCUGUCGAUUAGUGGUUAAAUCAUCACGUUGUGGUUAGCUCUAGAAUCAACCGUGAAGCCGGGAGCUCGAAUCUCCCCAGGGACA